rnacentral:rRNA from 1 species
CCCUGCCUUUUGUACACACCGCCCGUCGCUCCUACCGAUUUCGAGUGGUCCGGUGAACCUUCUGGACUGAGUUCGCAAGAAUUCGGGAAGUUAAGUAAACCUUAUCACUUAGAGGAAGGAGAAGUCGU